UUCUCGAGCCCUCAGCUUGUUGAAAAGGCCAUGUGGUCCUUCUCAGCAGUGUCCAGCUGGAGGGUAUCAUGUCCAAAGAAUUUGGAUUUAGGAACUAUAAACCCAUAAAAUGGAAGUGCCAGUUAAGGAAGGCAGUUAUAACAUGUGUAACAUCUUCCACAAGUGGAAAAAAAGCAGGCUGUGUCUUCUCUGAAGUGCAGGGACUGAUCUGCAUCAGUACAGAGGAGCACAGAGGUGCCCAGCUACAGGUGCCAGCGAAGGGAGUCACUGAGAGAUUCAGGCUUUCAGUUCAGCUGAAUAGAAGUGCAACCCCGACUGAGCAGUUCAGCUCAGCACAAAGAACUGGCGAACAAUGGGAAAUCCUCCUUUGUUAGUAAUCCCACUGCAUCUCUCUCCAAGGUGUUUUCCUCACUUCCCAGAGUCCAGCUUGCCUCCUGUACUGUACUGAUGGGGUUUGGACCAAGCAUGCAUAUACUGGAGAAUUCAAAAAGCGCAGUGGAGUUCAGCCUCUAUUAUCCAGGAGCUGUAAGUAAAGGCAACCCACAGCUGGAUGCAGGAAAAUGGAGAAAAACAAGCAAACCCACUCUUGUCAGCACCAGAUUUCAUGA